AGGGUGCGAGCGUUAAUCGGAAUUACUGGGCGUAAAGCGCAUGCAGGCGGCCUGUUAAGUCAGAUGUGAAAGCCCGGGGCGUUAACCUCGGAAAUUGCAUUUUGAAACUAGGCAGGGCUAGAGUCUUGUAGAGGGGGGUAGGGAAUUUCAGGUGUAGCGGUGAAAUAGCGUAGAGAUCUGAAGGAAUACCAGUGGCGAAGGCGGCCCCCUCGGACAAAGACUGACGCUCAGAUGCGAAAGCGUGGGGAGCAAACAGGAUUAGAUACCCUGGUAG
rnacentral:rRNA from 1 species